rnacentral:tRNA from 1 species
GCCUGGGUGGCUCAGUCGGUUAAGCGUCUGACUUCGGCUCAGGUCAUGAUCUCACGGUCUGUGAGUUUGAGCCCCGCAUCAGGCU